AAGUAGGGUGAUGAAAAAGAAUCCUUAGGCGUGGUUGUGGCCGUCUUGGUCGCUUUCGUGCCACUUGCCAAUGCUAGGACAUGUCAUAGUUACACUGACUGUUG
ensembl:snoRNA